rnacentral:lncRNA from 1 species
UUCAUCAUCAUCAUCAUCUUCAUCAUCAUCGUCAUCAUCAUCUUCAUCAUCUUCAUCAUCAAUAUUGGAAGAGCCUUCAUCAUCAUCUUCAUCAUCAUCUUCAUCAUCUUCAUCUUCAUCAUCAUCAUCAUCAUUGGAAGAGCCUUCAUCAUCAUCAUCAUCAUCAUCAUCAUCAGAAGAAGAAGAGCCUUCAUCAUCAUCAUCAUCGUCAUCAUCGGUGUUGGAAGAGCCCCGGGGUUGUCGGCGGGAUGAUGAAGAUCUCCAUCAUCAUCAUCGUCAUCAGAAGAGCCUUCGUCGUCAUCAUCAUCAUCAUCUUCAUCACUGUCACUAUUGGAAGAGCCUUCAUCAU